rnacentral:rRNA from 1 species
GAUGAACGCUGGCGGCGUGCCUAACACAUGCAAGUCGAACGAGAAAGGGGCUUCGGCCCUGAGUAAAGUGGCGCACGGGUGAGUAACACGUAGGUAACCUGCCUUUAAGGCUGGGAUAACCCGUCGAAAGAUGGGCUAAUACCGGAUGAGACCACGGGUUCUUAGGGAUUUGGGGUCAAAGGUCGCCUCUGCAAGCAAGCGAUCGCUUAGAGAUGGGCCUGCGCACCAUUAGCAGUUGGUAGGGUAACGGCCUACCAAGGCCAAGAUGGUUAGCUGGUCUGAGAGGAUGAUCAGCCACACUGGAACUGAGACACGGUCCAGACUCCUACGGGAGGCAGCAGUGGGGAAUAUUGCGCAAUGGGCGAAAGCCUGACGCAGCAACGCCGCGU